rnacentral:rRNA from 1 species
UACGUAGGGUGCGAGCGUUUGUCCGGAAUUAUUGGGCGUAAAGAGCUCGUAGGUGGUUUGUCGCGUUGUUCGUGAAAACUCACAGCUCAACUGUGGGCGUGCGGGCGAUACGGGCAGACUAGAGUACUGCAGGGGAGACUGGAAUUCCUGGUGUAGCGGUGGAAUGCGCAGAUAUCAGGAGGAACACCGGUGGCGAAGGCGGGUCUCUGGGCCGAUAACUGACGCUGAGGAGCGAAAGCAUGGGUAGCGAACAGG